AAAAUAACCUGCCUAUUUAUUUCAUUUUGUUUUUCUUUUUUUUGUUAUUAAAUUCAAAUUUUCAACAUUGAAAAUUCCAACGCAACGAUUGCUCGAUAAUUUUUCUCGAACGUUUUGGACAUUUUCGUGAAAAUUCACGAAAAAAGUGCGUAAAUGUUCCGUAAUUUUUACCGAAUAUUGGUUUGACGCAGAUUAUGGAACAGUUGAUCACGUAGCCAGAUAAAGCGAAGGUCUCGAUGUGAAGUACAUGGAUGUUGCCCCUUUCCGUGCCAACGUACAGCCAUUUACUUUGAAGGGGCAGGUGCAUCGAGGUUAUACUGUAAAUGCCAAAAGAGAGAAAAAUAUAGAAAUCGAAACGGAGUUAAUGUUGAAGAAAAACAUGGGGAAAAGAUACUUUUCACGUUUUUAUACGCAUCAGAGAGGACAUCGAAUGAGGGAAAUAGAAAUAACAAACGAUAAAAGACGAGACAAUGAGUAAUUUGAUCGUUCGUGUGUGAAGAACCAGAGAUGUGCACACCCAUUUCGUAAAGAUCACUCUGUAAAUAUUUGUGGAAGAAAGGGGAAUGAUACAACUCAAGAAAUCGAGUCAAAUUACUAGUUGCGAGAAAACAACUGAAAAUUGAAAAAAAAAUCUCGAUUUUGUAAAAAAUAUAUUGAGGCAAUUAUUGGUUUCGCAAAAAGUUUCAGAUUUUUUUUUUGAUUUACGGAAAAUGGAAAAGGACUCUAAUUUUUUAAAAAAUUGAGACACCGGGAUUGAACUGGAUGAGGGUUACAUCCCCUCGCUUUGCUAAAAUAUUUGCAUGAGGUUCAUGUUUAGAGCUCCCAGAAUCAAAGAUUGGCGUAUAAUUACGCAGUUUAAUAACGCAGUCCUUUAAAAGUGCCGACAUUUUUCGUUUAAUCAGCGACUGAUUCCGUUGGCACAAUUGAACAGGACCUCGUUGUUGAUAAAAAAAAUAAUCGUUCCAUUUUACUAAAUUUUCCUCUCAGCGUAGAAAUAAAAAAACUGGAAAAUAAUCUAAAGCACCCCAGCACUGUAAACCACUUUUAAAUAUUAUUCCCCUGAGAGCAUGCACCAUCCAAUCAAAUCCAAAAUAAAAAAAAAAUGCAACAUGGCUGGAGGCAAUUUGACCGAUAGACUUCAAACCGAAGUGAAAUCAAUGCAGAUGGACUGGUCCAUGUAUAACUAAAACACUGUUCAAUCCCGAGCUCAAAAUCUGCAGUUACCUUCGCCCACUAGAUAACGGCUAAAAUCUCGUCGACGCGUAUAAAUACAUAUGUAUUUUCCCGUCCUAACUAAAAAAAAAUGCCUGAAUAAAUAGACAGCACACAGAGGGGUGGAAAAUGCAAAUUACAUGGUCCACAUGAAAAAGUUAAAGAGGCAAACAUUAAUUAGUUUCUAUUUACGUUUAAAAGGGGCAGAGGAGAUUUUUUUUUUUCAUCAAGGGGUGGAUAAAAUCGAAGAAGACCAAAAAGGAAAUGGGGAGGAGAAAAGUUUUGAUAAUGGAUGGAGAGGAGUGAGUAGGAGGGGACUUGUAGUGAAAAGUUGGCUGGAGACAGCUCAUUGUAACUCGUGUGUUAACAACGACGAUCGGAUGUUGCUUCGCGCAGAUAAGGGCUCAAAAACUGUGUUGGCUAGUGGUUACGGUGGCUAUUGGUCAGCCUUGAGCACACAGUGCUGACGUAGCUGCCCGAUUUAAUUUCAAAGUGGUGAUUCAAAAAGGUAAAAGUAAAUAUUCGGUAACACAGGGAUAGAACACACAGAUCAAUAGAAUAGGAUAUUCAUUGAUUUAGUGGAGAGGAAUUAUAGGGAGCCCCAGACACUGAUAAAUAAUUGUGAAUGAUUCAGAUGAUGGUAGUGAGGUUUCUUAAUGACAACUCAAUCUUUCUGUCAGUGUAGAUGAGACGAUUUUUUCUUCUACUGCGGAAAUGUAAUUACAAGAUGAAGGGGAAUCUUUAAAAAAAAUGUCCCUUCAUCUCUACUCCUUUAUAAGAUAUGAAUUCCAUGAAAAUCGAUAGAGAAUACCUCCGUAGUAUCUUAAGAUUGUUCCAGAGUAACUCUUCUGCAUAAAAAAAAGGCAUUAACAAAUGUCAAAUAAAAAAUAUAACAUUCCAAAAUAAAAUAAAACUAAAAUGAAAAUUUCCCCUCAUCUAUUCUAUUAUUCUAGUAUUUUAUCUAUUAUUCUCUUUUGAUUUCUACUAACACACAGCCCACACAGUUGGUUGAUUAACGUAUAAUUAAAUGCACUGCAAUCAAGGAAGUCUGGUCUCGACACUGCGGGAAAUAGGGAACAAAAUAUAAAGCUUAAGGAAUAUGCAUGAGAAAUAAGGGGAAAAGCAUUCAGUCAUUUUAUAAGGUAGAAAAAGAAACUAUGAAUUUCUAAUAAAUUUUCCCUGAUGAGGACCUCCCAGGAGGGACUUUGGAAUGAAAUAUGACCGAUUAUUGAUCGUCUUUCAAACUCUUAAAAUUGCUUAUAACUGCUGACUCAUAGUCAAGAAUACCAUGGAAAUGUUUUUCCUUUGAAAUCAUUUUUUAGAAAAAAUAUUUUUCUUCAGAAACAUGAAUAAAAAAAAUGAUGAAUGAGGGAAACACUAUCAGCGAUGAAGAUCAAUCAUGAAUGGAAGAUUAAUUUUUAAAUAUUACAUGAAGAGCAUAUCAAGUAAACUGGUCUUUUGAUAAUGCAAUGUAAUGGCCGAAAAUCAAGUCACGCAAAAUAAAAUAGUUAAUCAAAUUUCCGCGUUGACAUAAUCGAGUUUUGCAACAAUUAAGAAAAUGAAGGACUAUUAAGAAUAAAGAACAACAAUUAACAGAGAACAAUUCAAAAUCGGAACAGUUAUUUUCACUUUUCCGAGUUCAAGGAACGCAUUAGAGGGGUUUCCCUCUUUUCUUAAUGAUAAUUAAAAAUUUGUCUUUUUUGUAUUUUUCUUUCUUCCACGAGUUCCAAAAAAUUUCCCCGCAAUCGUGUAAAAAUAUACUAUUUUUCCAAUUUUUUUGAUUUGUUCAAUUGCAUAGCAGAUUCGGGCAUAAAAUUUGCAUUUUUAGUAUUCUACAAAAUUCACUGCAUUUGGAAUUAGUUUUUAACAACAGCCUCAGAACUUUCCCAUACCAUGGAAACAUCGAAUUGCAGGAGUAUCCACAAUCCCAAUUUGUUCUAUGCCUCGCGUGUAAGAAGCCUGCAUUUCAUUAUUUAGUAUCCCAUAAACUCUGUACUACUGCUAGUUAGAUUUUUUAUACAACCAGGGACUAUCAUAAAUGUUAUUCCUCUUUAGAAAACAGAAUUUUUUUUAACAAAAAAUUAUCUCAUUUUUUCAUAUACAAUGGAAAAAUAUUCCAACAUAUUAUCCGAUAAAAAAGUAAAUAAAUAGAUAAAUGUGCAUCCACUUGACACAAUUUUUAUAAAUGAAAGAAAAGAAUGUAUGCGUCCAAGAAAAUUUCAUAUCUGUAUUUUAUUAAAAUUGGUCUCGGUUUCAUUUCGCGAAGCGUCAUGACCUUAGCAAUGAAAAAAGUGAUAAGGAAAACCAGAUAAAAUGGAAUCACGUGGAGGUCAAUGCUCCAGUGAUCCAUGAUUUAAUCAUUUAAGUUAUGGUAAAAUGUAACAAUAAUAUCAUAUAACCAAUCAAAUCGUCUCAUUAUUCUACAAAUUUAAUCAGCUCAUUACCAUACGAUUUUGUCGAAAAAUAGUGCACAAUCCUCAUGAAACUGGUGUUUUUACACACUUGGGAUUAACGUACUCGCCCUCGGCUCGUCUAUAGCCUCGGAAUACAGUUAAAAUAAUCAAUGUUCAUUAAACAAAUGAAUUCCUUACCUCUCACGUUGAAACUUGAGGCUCUGGACGACCUGUGGAAUUUUCUGUCGAAAAUUCCAUAGGUGCACUGUGUUAUCAGCAGUCAAUGAAAUUAGGGCACCUUCAUUGAUGAGAAACAAUAGUUGGAGAACAGAUGCAUCACCCUCGUGUUUGACGUGCACAUCAACUCCUGGUCUUCCCAAACUUUAUUUUUUUUCGUCUCAAGGUCAAGGAAAAUAUAAGUUUGUGGGGAGUGGUUAUAAGGAUAUUUAUGACGCAGUGAAAAUUUUAUGGUGCAGCAAUAAAGGAUGAAAAGGGAAGCAUCCAGAGGUUUAUGAAUCUCCUGCAUAUUAUUUCGAUACAUUCUGAGGGAUCCAGUUUUGGUGCCAAUUGCCAGGAGCUUUUGCACGGGAUCGAAAGCCACUGCUGUUGGUUGAUAUGGAAAUCCAUGUCUGAAGGUCUGAAACAAUGAAAUUUCUUUUUUCCUCAUCAGACAUUCUUUUCUCCUUCUCAACUUCUACUGAAAGAAAUUGAAGCAUUUCUUUUUGCUUGAAUAAUGGAAGUAGUCUGGUCUAAUAUCGACUAAACUGUCAGUGACAGCACCAGCGGAAGACCAAGCGGUUUCCUGUUUCGAUUUUAUUCAAAAAUUCACUUUCCAAGAGUUUAAACAAGGUCUCAUCGUACCAUCAGUGUGACACCUCUGACUGGACGAGUCAAUCUUGCGGUGAGGACAUUUGAUACAGCGAAGUGAACUUGAGAAAGAGCAGCAAUAAAUAUUUAUCAAUACACCUGCACCCUGUACUUUGCUCCCAGAUGGGCGGGAGGAAAGUGCAUACUUUCCGCACUUCUUUGUGCUGGCAAGGGCGGAACGUCUUGACCUUCCAUCCGAGGCAUUGACGUUCCACCCUAGGGCGGAAAGUAUCCACUUUCCUGCCGCUCUCCAAACAACAAAAUACAAAUUUUCCUUUGCUGAUGCGUUGAAAAAUAGCAUAUGCAUCAUGACUAUCAGCCCUUAGUGUACGAUAUUCUGGGUAAACGAAAAUUGGAACUCAAAGGGGAACUGUUUAGAACAGAGUGAACCACCCAGUCAACCCUUCAACAAGACAACUAAUUUGCAUAUUUACUAGGAAAACGAGAUCCUUUAUUCAGGGCAAUGAAACUUUUGCCAAAAGGGCAAAAGUUCAUUAAUGUCACUAAACGCAAAGAGAUUUUGUGAAACAUUCCUGUAUUUAAAGUACUAUUGAAUUUUGUUCGUCCGAUUGUUGAUAUGUAACAACUUUUAUCGUUGCGAAUAUACGCGAGUUCACCCUUAGCCCUUUAACGAGAUUGAUUUGUAAGUGUAAGAAAACAAUAUUGUUGUUUUAGCUAGAAAAAUUAAUUAUUGGCAUUCAGGAUACUAUUCUCUUGAUAUUUUAGUAACAAAAAGUUCUCAAGAAAUUUUGUUUCCUCAGUGCAGUUAAUUAAAGUCAAUCUGGGCUCGCUUGGAAGAAAAAUGUAAUAAUUUUAAUUGUAAUAAAUUAGUUAUAGCAAUUUAAAAGUAAUUCAUUGUGUCCCUCUUUCCCGAAUCGCCACAAUUUUUUUUUCUCCCUGUACGAGGAAAAUAUUUCA